rnacentral:rRNA from 1 species
AUGUUUUUCGUGCAUCUGGGUGGGCAUGGCAAUCAAUCAGUGGGUCGAGUCUCCGUUUCCUGGAGUCAAAGCUUCCCUGCCCAGAGUUCAGACUCUUUCCCCUCUUGCCUCUUUGCCAUGGACCGAAUAAACAUGUGGAUUCCACGCGGGAAGACACUCCCUGCUGUUGACCGCCUCCUCCUCCCCCCCUCCCGCCAUUCCAUUCGGGGAAGGAAGGAAGGAAGAAGCAUGGCGGAGCAGGCAAUGGAUCGGGAAGCAAAAGAGGAAAGCAGGUGCUCGAUCGCUUGCCGGACUGGGACCGGGGAUUCUUUCAGCGGCUUGGGGGCGGCGAGCGGAGCAGGACAUCCUUCUCGAUCCGUCAGCUGGCUUGGAUCAGAUGAUAUACUUGAGGUGAAAUCUGAAAUGGGUGUGAGUAGAAUCGCUCGGAAGGAACUUCGCUGA